rnacentral:ncRNA from 1 species
UAAGAGCCGAUGAUAAAGAGAGUAGCUUAAAUGAAUUUACAGCGAGUCAGGGUUUGGUGUGAGCCUGAUAUUGGAGUUUAAAGUGAAGAGAACUUUGGAGGUUAUUAGAGGAAUUUUAGUAUUCUAAUAGGUUUCCCGCCUUAAGGGUUUGAGAGGACAAGUUUUAAUUGUCAAUAAGAGUGGUAACGCGGUAUAUUCGUCUCUUAG